GUCUCAGCAGCUGCCCUGGCCUCACUCCUACCUCAUCCUUCCCUCAGACCUGCCCGAAUGCCACCUCCACCCUCUUCUUUCUCAGUUCCUCAGAACGAUCUCAGAGACCACAUUUGCCCCUUGAAGACAACAAUCAGAGCCAGCAUUCAUCUCUGUGCCAAGUGUGAACCCUUAGAACAAGAUGUUGCGGCAGCUGAUCAGGAAGACUGAGAGCCACCCUGCUCCGUCUGGAGCCUGGAGCGCCAACUGAUGCAGCCGGAGUCUUGAUCGCGCCACACACCCUCACC
rnacentral:lncRNA from 1 species